rnacentral:rRNA from 1 species
UACGAAGGGGGCUAGCGUUGUUCGGAAUCACUGGGCGUAAAGCGCACGCAGGCGGAUUGAUAAGUCAGGGGUGAAAUCCUGGAGCUCAACUCCAGAACUGCCUUUGAUACUGGGGAUCUCGAAGUCCGGAAGAGGUGAGUGGAACUCCGAGUGUAGAGGUGAAAUUCGUAGAUAUUCGGAAGAACACCAGUGGCGAAGGCGGCUCACUGGUCCGGUACUGACGCUGAGGUGCGAAAGCGUGGGGAUCAAACAGGG